AAGAAGGCCCACAGAUGACACAUGGUCACAAGCAGUCUCAACCCUCAAAGUCCAGUCCUGGGAAAGUAGCUCUGCUGGCCUGAGGGUACAGAGAAGAGAAGGGGGCUCACCCACCCCCUGGAUCCUUCUGGCACCCAAGAAGGGUUGAGACCCACAGGUUGAGAACCUCUGCUCUGGACAAAUUCUGCAAGUACAGGGACCAAGGCCAAAGUGUAGAGGGGAGCCCAGUGUUAUGCUCUUCCCCCUAGUGUGACAUUCAAUAAAUGUUGGGGAAGGAAGAAAACGUCUCCGGAUGCUCCUUGGGACGCUAAGAUCUGCAGAAGGGCCUGUUCAUGUGCUCCAGGAGUGACACCUGGAACCAAUUUGACCUCCUAUGACAUUAAGUUGAUCGGCUCCACAACUGUCACCAAGUAUAGAGCAUGGAGGGGAUCCAGGUUAGGUAAGUUUUGGUGGGAAAGGGGUGUCUUGGGCCCAGUGGUGCCAGAGCCAUAUGCAGAG
rnacentral:lncRNA from 1 species